UUUAGUGUUGCAUGUUUCUGUUGACUCUUGAGGGAGAGAGAAACAGAAAAAUACAGGUUUCUUUUUUCUUUUCUUUUGGUUCAGACUUCAAAGUUUUCAUUCAAACAUGGCUUCAGGAUCUCUGUGUUCCACCGAGGCUCUGCUUCUGUUGUGAAGGAUCUUAAGUAUCUUGACUCUCAUGAGUGGAUUAACGUUGAGGGGAAUUCUGAUACUUUUGGCAUAACCAACCAUGCUCAGGAUUAUUUAAGUGAUGUUGUCUAUUAAAUUACUAGAAAUGGGGGCUCCUGUAUCACAGGGCAGCAGCUUUGGUGUGGUUGAAAGUGUCAAUACUACUAGAUAUUUUCAUAUUUAUUGUCCCAUUUUUUGGGAAGUGGUUGAAGUAAACUAAGAGCUCAAUGACUUCCUGGGUCUGGGUUUUAUUGGAGGAAUUGCGAUUGCCAUCAUUAGGAGUGGAUCUUAGCAAGCCUCUGUACGUUUGUGUUUCUGUGUACAAGGGCAUUUCCGCGGCCAAAAUGGCCAAAUGGCCAUAAAAUUGAUCUUAAGUACCAUGACUCUCAUGAGUGGGCGAAAGUUGAGGGGAAUUCUGCUACUGUUGGUAUAACCGACCAUGCUCAGGAUCAUUUAGGUGAUGUUGUCUACAUUGAAUUACCGGAAGUGGGAGCUCCAGUAUCACAGGGCGACAGCUUUGGUGUGAUUGAAAGUGUCAAGGCUACUAAUGAUAUUAAUUCUCCCAUUUCAGGGAAAGUGGUUGAAGUAAACGAAGAGCUCAAUGACUCCCCUGGUCUGCCCAUUUGACAAAGGAUGGAUAAUUAAGGUUGAGGUGAGUGAUAGUGGUGAAUUGAAGAGGUUGAUGGAUGCAGAUAAGUACACCAAGUUCUGUGAAGAAGAAGAAGAUGAUAUUCACUGAGUGACUAUGGCCACGAAGAACUUUGAGCAAUUUUCAUGUAGGGGUUGUUCAUGGAUAAUCACGAUAAAUUACACAAUCCUCGAAGUGUGUGGUGCACAUAUCUUUCUUUCUAUUUUCAUCCAAACAUGUGCUUCCACUGUUCUUCUUUUGUUACCUAAGAGCUAUAAAUUUAGUGGAUAUCCUAAGCAAAUAAUCAUUCUGGGUUUUAGUUUCAUCUAUUGGUGUUGUUUAGGCAGGUUUGUGGUUUGAGAACCAUUUUCAUAAUAUUCGUUUGAGUCGAAUACUUAUUUAAGAUAUGGGAUCUUAUUUACUUUCACUUGUUAGUUACAUGAAAAUCAGAGGGUGGAUUUCAAGGGAUGCUAAAGAAAUUUAUAUUCUUUGGAAUUAAAUCAUUAUGGCUAAAUAUCAUCGUUCACUAAUUGCAACCUGUAUUUCCAUUUUACUAUCUUGUCAGUGGUAUCAUUCUCCCAAAUUUGGUGUUAGGUUUUAAUGACCAAAUCACAUUAAUUUAUUCAAUUAUUCCAUUUCCAUCUA